rnacentral:rRNA from 1 species
UUGCCUUAGUAGCGGCGAGUGAAGCGGCAAAAGCUCAAAUUUGAAAUCUGGCGCCUUCGGUGUCCGAGUUGUAAUUUGAAGAUUGUAACCUUGGGGUUGGCUCUUGUCUAUGUUUCUUGGAACAGGACGUCACAGAGGGUGAGAAUCCCGUGCGAUGAGAUGCCCAAUUCUAUGUAAGGUGCUUUCGAAGAGUCGAGUUGUUUGGGAAUGCAGCUCUAAGUGGGUGGUAAAUUCCAUCUAAAGCUAAAUAUUGGCGAGAGACCGAUAGCGAACAAGUACAGUGAUGGAAAGAUGAAAAGAACUUUGAAAAGAGAGUGAAAAAGUACGUGAAAUUGUUGAAAGGGAAGGGUUUGAGAUCAGACUCGAUAUUUUGUGAGCCUUGCCUUCGUGGCGGGGUGACCCGCAGCUUAUCGGGCCAGCAUCGGUUUGGGCGGUAGGAUAAUGGCGUAGGAAUGUGACUUUACUUCGGUGAAGUGUUAUAGCCUGCGUUGAUGCUGCCUGCCUAGACCGAGGACUGCGAUUUUAUCAAGGAUGCUGGCAUAAUGAUCCCAAACCGCCCGUCUUGAAACACGGACCA